GACGUAGAAUGUAUUGAAAAGGUCAAGGUCAACCAUAAAAAGCUCGAAAACACACUAAAAAUCCUUUAUAUAAGGUUAAAAACACUAAAUUCGCACUCUGGGACAUGACCUUGACCUUUGACCUUUUGACCUUUGGCAAGGUCAUUAAUCCCCAAUGCCAUUACUGAAGACCCCAAGGGUCUAGGACCUUUGGUUAUAUAAUAAAAGCUGAUUUUGUGUUUUCAGAAACCUAAAACAGGCUUUAUGCCCCUUAAAAAAAGGUCAAAUCUCUUCGGUCAAAAUGUAACAAAAAUGCACGGUAAUGACCCAAACAUUUUCCACUAUUUAAAACUUCUGUAAGUAUAAUGGUUGCUGAGAUUAUUCCAUAACAAGGUGUAAGGUCAAAGGUCAAGGUCAACAUACAAAUUUGACCUUGAGAUAUUUUUCGAAGAUACAUGAAUUGAUGAUGAAUGGUGAAGAUCCUAGGUCUCUACGACUUACGGUU
rnacentral:lncRNA from 1 species